GCGGAUGGCCGGAUGACCGCGGCAGGCAACUGUCGAGGAAAGUCCGGACUCCAUGAAGAUACGGUGCCGGGUAACGCCCGGCGGGGGCAACCCCAGGGAAAGCGCCACAGAGAUGAGACCGCUCGUGCCCAAGCAAUUGGACCACACGGGUAAGGGUGAAACGGUGGGGUAAGAGCCCACCGCGGGACUGGCAACAGGACCGGCACGGCAAGCCCCACCGGGAGCAACGCCGAAUAGGGACCGCGCGUCGCAAGACAGGGCCAUCUUCGCCCCAGCAGGUCCGGGUUGGCAGCUAGAUCCCGUCGGCAACGGCGGGGCCAGAGGAAUGGUCAUCCAAGGGGGCAACCCCGGGACAAAAUCCGGCUUACAGGCCAUCCGCGCAU
rnacentral:RNase_P_RNA from 1 species